AGUAUAUAUUUUGUAAUGUGUUAUGCUAUAAUGAUCCUACAAAGGUGUAUUACAUAUUAUACUACACUACUAAUAGUAUAGUGUAUAUAUAUUAUACUAUAAAAUAUUAUCAUGUGAUUAUGCAAGGUCUUAAUAUUAUCUUCCUUUUGUAGAUAAAGAAAAUAAGAAGGAAGAGGUUAGAAGACUUGCCCAGGAUUGCAGUCAGGAGCAGAGCUGAAGUCUGAAGCCAGGACGUCAGACUCUAGGGUUUCAUCACAGCCCCUUCUGAUGCUGCUUCCCAUGAUUUUGCUAAAAGAAGCAAAAUGCCUCCAAAUUGGGAUAUAGGAAAGGUUAAGCCUGAGUUUGGUCUUCUGUUACCUGGGACUAAACUAAUGUGCAUGACACACCUAUCAAAUCAAAGUAUUGUCUUGUGCUGUUCUGCUCUGAUCCUGGAAACAUCCACUGAAAGAAUCACUGGUCUGGGACAAAUUGUGGUACCCAAAGACCCCAAGAAGCACUUAGAAGAAUUGCUCCUGAAGUCCCAUUCAUCCCAAGAAGAGUUGCUGAGUGGAGGAGACAAUGUGUCAAUAUGUCAUGACAAGAUGGUGUGGUGAGUGCUAUGUUUGUGUGUUAGAGGCAGGCAUAGCCAUGCUCACAGUGAGGAACGAGUUAGAAGCUCAAUCACAGCCCCAUGUUGCCUUCCACUCUUUGGAUAAAAGAAGGUUUUCCUUCAAAUUGAAGGAAAGAAGAAGGCAUUUCCUUCAAAUGCCUUCAAAUUGUGAUGUAAGCUCUGCCCAGAGGAUUCUGGGAAGGUUUUAACCAACAGGAUUUGGGAGGCAUUGACCACUCACCGAGCAGCGUUCUAGGUGGUGGAGACACCGUGGUGAGCAAAGCAAAGUCUUUGCUUGCAUGGAUCUUUCAUUCCAGGUGGGGAGGCCAACAAGAAACACAUAAGCAAUAAGCACUUGAUGACAGGAAAGAAUACAAAUGGCAUGAAGAAAAAUAACACUAGUGAGGGGGAUUGAGAGCAGGUUAGAGGGAAAACCUGUCUAGGGAGGUAACAGUGAAGAAGAGACCUGAGGAGGAGCACGAU
rnacentral:lncRNA from 13 species